AAAUGGUUUUGUGUUGCAGAUGGAGUUUGUGUCCAAAGUAGAGAGCAUCCUGGUUGUGUUUGGGAUGUCAAAUUCUUGGAGAAUGGUGAUAUUGUGACUGCAUGUUCUGAUGGAGUUGUGCGUAUUUGGACAAUACAUCAGGAUAAGAUUGCUAACUCGUCCGAGCUUGAAUCCUUUGCUUCUCAACUUUCUUAUUACAAGUGUAGCAGGAAGAGGGUUGGAGGAUUGAAAUUGGAAGAAUUACCAGGGCUAGAGGCUUUAUAGGUUCCAGGAACAAGAGAUGGCCAGACAAAGGUUGUAAGAGAAGGGGACAAUGGUGUAGCAUAUUCAUGGAAUAUGAAGGAGCAGCAGUGGGAUAAGGUAUUUCCUUCAUUUUAUUAUCUUUUCAGCCCUUCGUCUCAUGGUUAAUUUUUUUACGCCUUCUCCACCAAUUGUUUAAACUUUUUUAUGCAUUGUUGUAUUAUUUUUUUUUAAUAUUUGGGCUUUGAAAUAAUCUUUUGCUGCUCUAUAAAGGUCACAUGCAGUGUUUUGAUGGGACAUUUUUUACACCCAGUUUAGAUGAAAAUGACCGGAUUGUGAUGUGAUGAAUGAGGUGUUGAUAUAUUGUAAUGGAUGGGUAUUAAGGCUGAAGUUAUUGUUUUUAAACCUGCCUGAUUUAUUACUGUUUUUUUUAAUCUCCUUUUGCAGUAUUUCUGACCUUUUUUUCUGCCUUGGGUUUGUGGUAUUAUACUUAUUUGACCAUGUAAUUAGCAGGAAAAUUUGAGCCUGCUGAUGCAUUAUGUGCAAUAUAAUGAGUGGCUUCUAGUAGCAACUAAUGUAGUUGCCAUUGGUCCUUCUCCAUUGAAUGGCUAAUUUUUAAUCCAUCUCCUUUGAUUUGUGUGUGUAAUGAGGAUGAUGUGCCAUGUUUGGCAAUUUUAGUAACAAGUUGUUCAUGCCUAGGGCUGUAAAAUGAAUCAACCUAGCUUUCAUUUGGCUUGGUGUAGACAAGGAUCAUAUCCUUGAUAAGGGAAGGGGUAUAACAUGCCAGGUGAUGGGGGAGUUCUGGGAAACGAACUGGUGAGGGGUGAGGCAGUCCCUGUGACCAGAGAGUGACAGUUGAGAGAGAAAGUAUAGUAUAUAUCCCAAGUCCUUCGAAGUUUUCCCUUGGGAAUGCGGUUACUGUGCUGUAGUGUAAAAGUAUAGUAAAAAUAACAUUUCCAUUUACUUUUCUUUCCUUAUUAUUUCAUAUUAUGAUCUAGCCUUAUAGAGCUCAGUUACGAAUGCUGAUUUUGUCAUCCACUAGUGCAUUUAUUUGUGGACAGGCCAAAUGAUUGAACUUUUCAAGAAAUGGUUAACACCCUCAAAAUUCUUUUUGUCUAACACUAGCCCUCAUAUAGUUCCGUUGCAAAGGACAUGUUUUGGUUUGUGGCUAGAAAGAUUUUAGAAAGGAAAGGGACAAGCGAUGAUUUGGACAUUUGGUGAUGUGCAAUCAUAGACUUACCAGAGGCUGACCAAAAAAAAAAA